rnacentral:lncRNA from 1 species
CAAUUAUUUUGGAACCGAUGACGCUGACGGAUUUUGGGUUUGAUGCACGGAUUUCAAGAAAAUCGAAAAAUACAUGUUUUAUAUGUAUUUGUGUGUCACUUUGUCUGUAGGAAAAGAGAACGAAUUUCGUCGCGAAUCCGUGACCGAUCGAGGCGAAACGAAAUCGUAGGUUUGUUGCCUCAGACGUGCUGAUCGCACUGGUGCGAUCUAUUCGCAAAUUUGACAGACAGAUCUGCGGAGAAAAUGCGUUGUUCGAGGAGAGGUCGGUGAUGGCAAAAC